rnacentral:rRNA from 1 species
CCGGCACGGGUGAGUAACACGUAUGCAAUCCACCUGUAACAGGGGGAUAACCCGGAGAAAUCCGGACUAAUACCCCAUAAUAUGGGCGCUCCGCAUGGAGAGCCCAUUAAAGAGAGCAACUUUGGUUACAGACGAGCAUGCGCUCCAUUAGCCAGUUGGCGGGGUAACGGCCCACCAAAGCGACGAUGGAUAGGGGUUCUGAGAGGAAGGUCCCCCACAUUGGAACUGAGACACGGUCCAA